AUUGAACGCUGGCGGCAGGCUUAACACAUGCAAGUCGAGCGGAGAGAGGUAGCUUGCUACUGAUCUUAGCGGCGGACGGGUGAGUAAUGCUUAGGAAUCUGCCUAUUAGUGGGGGACAACAUUUCGAAAGGAAUGCUAAUACCGCAUACGUCCUACGGGAGAAAGCAGGGGAGCUUCGGACCUUGCGCUAAUAGAUGAGCAUAAGUCGGAUUAGCUAGUUGGUGGGGUAAAGGCCUACCAAGGCGACGAUCUGUAGCGGGUCUGAGAGGAUGAUCCGCCACACUGGGACUGAGACACGGCCCAGACUCCUACGGGAGGCAGCAGUGGGGAAUAUUGGACAAUGGGCGCAAGCCUGAUCCAGCCAUGCCGCGUGUGUGAAGAAGGCCUUAUGGUUGUAAAGCACUUUAAGCGAGGAGGAGGCUACUUUAGUUAAUACCUAGAGAUAGUGGACGUUACUCGCAGAAUAAGCACCGGCUAACUCUGUGCCAGCCGCCGCCGUAAGAC
rnacentral:rRNA from 1 species